CCCCAGCUCCUGCUGCGCACGUCAGAGAACAAGCUGCUGCUGUGGGGAAGGAAGCAAAGAGAAGAGCCGGGGUGGCACAGCACAGCACAUCUGCACGGGCAGGGGACUGACUGGCUCGCCAUGGCUCUGGUUACCUCGAAGACGACGUGGGGCAGCGUGGAGGUGGCCCUGACCAGGCUCUACACUGUCCUGCUCUGCUGCGGCCCCAUGCUGGCUGGCUGCCGCCGGGUGACCUUCUUCCCAGCAAUGUUAACUCUCCCUGCAGGUGGCUCAGCCACCUUCUUCUGCAAUAUCUCCAUGGAGAAUGACUCCAGCUCAGAGUACAGCCUCAACUGGUACAAGGAGACCAACCAUAGCCAAGCCCAGAAAAUCGCUGAGAUCAACCCCCAGAUCAGCCAGAUCAACCGCCAGAUGAAGACGGAGAAGUACCUGCUCACCAACCACACUCCUGCCUUCAAGAUUGAGAUCCUGAACCUCCACCAGAAUGACUCAGGCUCCUACUUCUGUGGACUGAUCACCUUCUUUGAACCUGAUAAAGUGAUGGAGAGCAAUAGGUCCCAGCUGGUGGUCACAGCAGCCCCUGAGAAGGUGAAUGCUACUGACGAGCCCGAGAUGGAGGAAAGCAACCCCCCAAACUACAUCAAGGCCACGGUCCUGGGGAUCCUGUUGGUGGUUGGGGCGGUUGUGCUGCUGAUCUUCGGGUACCUCACCAUCACAUACAAGAGAGGAGGUAUGAUCCCCCACAGAGACCAUGCUGUGCUGAGGGGCUGGGUUCUGGCAGGGGACCUGAUGGGUGAUGCUCAUCCAGCAAACCCAGCUGGGACCUGGGGGCAGCCAGAUGCCUGCAGCUUCCUGGGGUACAUGGGCUGGUUCAAUGAGCUAAACUCAGCUGUGGCAUGUCCCCAUGGGACAGGUAUCUCCAUGCGUAGGGGAGAAGGGUGCUUUGGACCCUGCUUGCUCCUCAUAAAGCCCCCAGACCACAUGGUGUGGCUCUGCACUACUCAUUAAUGUGGCAUGUUAAUGCUGUAUGAGUCCCUUCCAUACACCUUGCCCAGGCACCUCCGGCACUCUCAUCAUCUCCCUGCUGUAGGCACCUGUGGAGCUUUCCCAGAGGGGACCCCUGAGGAAUUGCACCCCUCUAAUCCCAAUUAAACCCUAGGCUGGUAUCUCACUUGUCAUUGUAAUGUUCAGUGUGUUAGACUCUGAGGGGAGAAGGAGGAAGUGUGGUGCAAUGGUUGUGGUGUCCAGUGCUCUCGUAGGACAUGGGGACUGGGUCAGCCCCAGAUGCUCACGCUGCCUUAGCACGCAAGCAUCUUCUAACCAAACGUGUUACUUUGCAGAUGUACAGAAACCACGAAGUGAAAACAGGCCAGCGAAGGAAGAGAAACCCCCUGUGGUGUCCGUGUCCACUGUGGACUAUGGCGUGCUGGAGUUUCAGUGGGACCAGCACAUCCAGGUGCCCCCCGAGACCUCGCCAGUUGACCAGACUGAAUACGCCACCAUCAUCUUCUCAGAGGAGAAACCCGUCACACCAGAGCGGGGGAAGAAACACCUGGAUGAGAAGAUGUGGUAGCUGCAGUUCCAGCCCUUCUGAGGGCUGGGGUCCCUCCUUGCUUGAGGGGUGCAGGCAGGGACAGGCUGCCCUGGCCCCUCACUCUCACCACAGGUUGCAGUUGAGAAAAACCCAGCGUGCCAGGACUGGAGCAAGAGGUGCCGCUGCUGGACUUGAUAUCGGACAGUCCUGGCUGUGGUGGGACCAUGGCCAUGGGAUAGGUGCCAGAAGACACGGAAGAUCCCUGCAGGGCUCCUCAUGCCACCUCUUCAUUCAGGGCAGGGAGGAUGGGCUGCAGCAGAGCAGCGAUGCAAAUGGGUCUGUCCCAAAGGUGAUUUACAUCAUGCCUCGAUUUUCUGCCUCUACCUGGAGUUCUCUGGAGUGGACACGCUGCUUCCCUCACCCAGAUCUGACCCAAGCAUCACUGUGGGAGGAAAUGCUGGAGGUCAAAGCUGGAGCAGACCCUGGGAGAUGCUGCUCACAGGAGCCCAGGGCUGAGGGAUUCUCCUCACCCAGAGCAGAGACUGCCUUGUGUAUGGCUGUUUAAAGAAGCCCCGGGGAAGCAGGCAGCUGGUUCUCCUCCUGCCUCCAGGCACUUCCCUCCUCUGCAAGGGGGGAAAUCUACCCCUGUGUCCCUCCCUCCAGCAGGUGGGAGGCAGAUUUGGCCCUGGGGGUAAAUAAAGGGUUUCACAUCA